AGUGUAGGCGGUUGAUUAAGUUAUGUGUGAAAGCCCUAGGCUCAACUUAGGAAUUGCACAUAAUACUGGUUAACUUGAGUGUGGGAGAGGAAAGCGGAAUUCCUAGUGUAGCGGUGGAAUGCGUAGAUAUUAGGAGGAACACCAGAGGCGAAGGCGGCUUUCUGGACCAUAACUGACGCUGAGGCUCGAAAGCGUGGGGAGCAAACAGGAUUAGAUACCCUGGUAGUCCACGCCCUAAACGAUGGAUGCUAGAUGUAGGCGGUAUCGACUCCGCCUGUGCCGUAAGCAAACGCGAUAAGCAUCCCGCCUGGGGAGUACGGCCGCAAGGUUGAA
rnacentral:rRNA from 1 species